rnacentral:rRNA from 1 species
CGCGUAGGCGGAUGGUUAAGUCCGGUGUGAAAUCCCCGCGCUUAACGUGGGCAUUGCAUUUGAAACUAUGUAGCUAGAGUUCUGUAGAGGGGGGUAGAAUUCCAGGUGUAGCGGUGAAAUGCGUAGAGAUCUGGAGGAAUACCGAUUGCGAAGGCAGCCCCCUGGACAGUGACUGACGCUCAUAUGCGAAAGCGUGGGGAUCAAACAGGAUUAGAUACCCCCGUA